rnacentral:rRNA from 1 species
CCUACGGGAGGCAGCAGUGGGGAAUAUUGCGCAAUGGGCGAAAGCCUGACGCAGCGACGCCGCGUGAGGGAUGAAGGUCUGCGGAGCGUAAACCUCUGUCAGCAGGGAAGAACGGUCACGGUGCUAAGCAGCAGUGAAUUGACGGUACCUGCAAAGGAAGCACCGGCUAACGCCGUGCCAGCAGCCGCGGUAAUACGGAGGGUGCGAGCGUUAAUCGGAAUUACUGGGCGUAAAGCGCUCGUAGGCGGUAUGUCAAGUCAAGGGUGAAAUCCCCGCUCUCAACGUGGGAACUGCCUUUGAAACUGGCAACCUGGUGUGUGUGAGAGGCUAGUGGAAUUCCAGGUGU